rnacentral:lncRNA from 1 species
AGAAUUUACUUUAUGUUCAGGACCCUCCUGAAAAAUGGGAUUUUACUUUAUGCUCAGCACCCUCCUGAAAAAUGGGACUUCACUUUCUGCUCAGGAUCCUCCUGAAAAAUGGGAUUUCACUUUCUGUUCAGGACCCUCCUGAAAAAUGGAAAUUUACUUUAUGUUCAGGACCCUCCUAAAAAAUGGAAUUUUACUUUCAGUUCAGGACCUUCCUGAAAAAUGAGANNNNNNNNNNNNNNNNNNNNNNNNNNNNNNNNNNNNNNNNNNNNNNNNNNNNNNNNNNNNNNNNNNNNNNNNNNNNNNNNNNNNNNNNNNNNNNNNNNNNNNNNNNNNNNNNNNNNNNNNNNNNNNNNNNNNNNNNNNNAAAUUUACUUUAUGUUCAGGACCCUCCUGAAAAAUGGAAUUUUACUUUCAAUUCAGGCCCCUCCUGAAAAAUGGGAAUUUACUUUAUGUUCAGGUCUCUCCUGAAAGAUGGGACUUUACUUUCUGCUCAGGACCCUCCUGAAAAAUGAGAUUUUACUUUCAGUUCAGGACCCUCCUGAAUAAUGAGAAUUUACUGGACCCUCCUGAAAAAUGGGAAUUUUUUUUAUGUUCAGGACCCUCCUGAAAAAUGGGACUUUACUUUCUGUUCAGGACUCUCCUAAAAAAUGGGAUUUUAUUAUCUGUUCAGGGCCCUCCUGAAAAAUGGGAUUUCACUUUCUGCUCAGGACCGUUAUGAAAAAUGGGAAUUUACUUUAUGUUCAGGACCCUCCUGAAAAAUGAAAUUUUACUUUCAGUUCAGGCACCUCCUGAAAAAUGGGAAUUUACUUUAUGUUCAGGAUCCUCCUGAAAAAUGAGAAUUUACUUUAUGUUCAGGACCCUCCUGAAAAAUGGGAUUUUACUUUCAGUUCAAGACCCUCCUAAAAAAUAGGAAUUUACUUUAUGUUUAGGACCUCCUAAAAAAUGAGAUUGUACUUUCAGUUCAGGAACCUCAUGAAAAAUGGGAUUUUACUUUCAGUUCAGGCCCCUCGUGAAAAUGGGACAUUACUUUCAAAAAUGAUGAAAUCCUUCUUUAUUAUAAUCUUUGUUUGGGAUAAUUUUCAUUCUAGUUUUGAUUUUGGUUUCAGGAGCCCGCCUGAAGAACAGGGUAAGAAAAUGGUAAGUCGGGAUCCCGCCCGAAGAACUAGGUGAUGAAAUGAGAAAUUGAAGAAAUUGCAAGUUAGGAACCCGCCUGAAGAACAAGGCGAAUAAAUGAAAAGUCAAGCAAAAUGGUGAAGAAAUUGAAAGUUAAGCAAUGAGGUGAAACAAUUGAAAGCCAAACAACAAGUUGAAGAAAUUGCAAAUCAGGAGCCCGCCUGAAGAAUAGGGUAAUGAAGUAGCAAGUCAAGAGUCCAACAGGAAAGCUGCAUAGAUAGGAUUUUGUAAUUUCAAUUAUGUUUUAACUUGUAAUUUUCAUUUUGAUGUAAUGACAGAGCCGCGGAUCGGAAUCUCGAUAGAACCUCACUCGACUCUCCAACCCGGUAUUGUCCUUUUCUUUCAAAUCUUUUGAGAUACCGGUCAUUUGAUUCCUCUAUAAUUUGGGUAGGUAGGAUGUCCUAAGUCAAGAUUCGAUUGUCCUUCUUCUUUCUGUUUCUUCCUUUGAAUAAUAGUCGGGACAAAAUUUUGUCUUAUUGUCUACUUCUUUGUCUGAAAACACUUCAUGUUUACAUUCAAAGGGGGCAUGAUGUAAACACCUAAUUUCGUCUCUCCCCGAUAACAUUUUUACCCAAUUUUACCUUAUCCUACCGUGUACCCUCAUCCAUGUUAUUAUACCUCUACAAAAUGACAAAAACUAACAACUCCCUAAUUAAUUUUAUCUUAUCCUAAUAACCUACCCCAUACCCCUAUCCUAUCUCACCUACCCCUAAUCACCCUCCCUCACGUUUUUAGUCUUUUUUUUUACACAAUACAAAGACAACAAAAAGAGGCUCCCAGGGGAAUAGACCAUCACAUAUAGAGACAAUUCUCUAUGGGCCCACAGAACAAUAUAUAUUUAUUCACCAUUGAAUAGAUUCAUUCACAGAGAUAUAGGGGUGGGCCCCGUGAUUUUCUCCAUUCUCAUCAGUAUACUAAACUCUCACAGUAACCGACUAAUGGACUCCACCUCAUAGUAGCACAGAGAGCAUCUUCCUUUUUCCAUUUUUUCAUACGACACCACCACAGCACACACUGGAUUCACGAUUUUCUUUGGAUGCACACGCCAUUGCUCUCACCAUAAACGCACACGCACGAAGAGAGAGAUCGAAGCUUGAGGAAUUAGAGUAGAGAAAUCAGAUAGAAAGAAUAGAGAAGAGAAACCAGAGAGAAAUAGACAAAAAGCCAGUGAAGAGAGGUCUGCUCCGGCGACCCGAUCUCGCUGGAGCUCCGGUGACUCAUAAGGGUAGUUUCUACCUUCACUGGCGUCAAAAUCAUCGGAAAACAUCGCUAAUAGCGACCCACAAUCCAAUCGCUCAGAAAUCCGUCGAAAACAGUAACCCCGUCGACCGAAAACAUAUCAGCGACCAAACUAGCUGAUUCCGACGAGAUUAGUUUGGGUUCGACGAGAUUCUUGACACUGUUAUCUCGGGCUUUCGCAUUUUCAGUGAUUCAAAUCCGUGCGCGUCAUUACUUUUCACUAUUGAGGUGGUGUGAUUUGUUCGUGAUUGAGGUUCGACGUUGAGGUUCCGUUGAACGCGGUUCUAUUCGGGAAGAUCCAUUAAUCAAUAAAGCUCGAUUUGAGGUACAAUUCUAUCUCGUUCUUAUUUUGAUUUCAUUAUAUACACGUGGUUGGUUUGUGUGAAGCAUGAUAUGAAUAUUUGGGUGAUAUCAAUUUAUUUGUUUGGUUCAGUAGACAAUGAUUGUGGAUUGUUAAAGUGGUGAUUGUGAAUUUUUGGAAUUUUGAUAAUUAAUUUGGGGGCAAGAAUUGAAAAACUUGAUAUAAUUGAUGAAUUUUGGUUAGUUUGAUAUGUUUGACUUGAAAUGAAUGUUAAUCGAACUUGAUAGUGUCAUGAUAGGUGGAUUGGUUUAGGCAAACAUAGGUUGGAUAGGCAAACUUAGGAAUGGUGAUUUGUUUGAACGUUCGAAAUGAUUGUUGAAUGAUUUGUUUAUCGCAUUUGACUCAAUUGUAUUCAUUUGGCCGGGGAAUUCCCCGAGGAAAUUUGUAUUGGUUACUGGGGAGCACCCCGCGAGAUUGUGUAUUCAGAAGGACGUUCGUGAUGAAGGCCCGAGACAUCGGGUGAGGCAUUGGAGCUUAGUCUAGGAUUAAUUUAGAAUAAAAUUUAUUUUACGCAUUUUUUCAUUUUUGGAUUGUAUGAUUGGAUUGAAUACUAUAUUUUGGAUUUUUUCUAUUUCAUGUGUUUGGAUGCUUGUUUAUGUGUUUUAUGUGGUUUAUACGUUCUUAGUGCCAAAAUUAGCCGAUACGCUUGGCGAAGCGACCGUGGUCAAACCACGGGAUCGAGGGGUGUCUAACACCUUCUCCUCGGUCAACAGAAUUCCUUAGCCGGAAUCUCUGUUUGCAAAUCAGUUUUACAGAGUCAAAUCGUUUUGAAAAGGAUUUUUCAAAGGUGACUUGGCAUACCAGAUUAUGUCAAGUGGUAACUCUGAAUAAAAAAUUUAAAUAAUCCUUUUUCGAAACAAUUUUUUUUGUGUCACUUUAAUAAUAAAAAUCCUUUCAAAUUUAAAAUCUAUCUUUUUGGUGUAAAAAGGGGUGUGA